AUUGAACGCUGGCGGCAUGCCUUACACAUGCAAGUCGAACGGCAGCGGGGAAGAAGCUUGCUUUUCCUGCCGGCGAGUGGCGAACGGGUGAGUAAUACAUCGGAACGUGCCCUGUAGUGGGGGAUAACUAGUCGAAAGAUUAGCUAAUACCGCAUACGACCUGAGGGUGAAAGUGGGGGACCGCAAGGCCUCAUGCUAUAGGGGCGGCCGAUGUCUGAUUAGCUAGUUGGUGGGGUAAAGGCCUACCAAGGCGACGAUCAGUAGCUGGUCUGAGUGGACUGUCGGCCACGCGGGGACUGAGACACGGCCCAGACUCCUACGGGAGGCAGCAGUGGGGAAUUUUGGACAAUGGGCGAAAGCCUGAUCCAGCAAUGCCGCGUGUGUGAAGAAGGCCUUCGGGUUGUAAAGCACUUUUGUCCGGAAAGAAAUGGCUCUGGUUAAUACCUGGGGUCGAUGCCGGUACCGGAAGAAUAAGGACCGGCUAACUACGUGCCAGCCGCCGCCGUAAAAC
rnacentral:rRNA from 1 species